GUUAUCGUGAAGAUAACUAGGUAUAUACACACAUUUAAAUAUAUAUAUUCCAAACAGAAUGCUCUUGUUUGCAUGACAGGUCAUCAGUCCCAGCUAUUCCUGUCUUGUUGCAGGCUUUCACAAUAUUAAAAUAUAUAUAUAUAUAUAUAUACACAUAGAUUAGCUGAAGAUUAGAUAAAGGGAGAUCCCAAAAGGGAGGGUAGUUACAUCUGUAGGUAGUGAACUGAGUUUUGAUAGAAGCCUGGAAAACCAAAAGGCAAAGAUGUAGAAGAAGAAAAUCCUAGGCAUGGGGAAUAGCCAGUUCAAAGGCAGAGAAAAAGGGAAUCAGAGUAUCAUGCCACAUCCCUGAAUUAAAAUGUAAGUUUACACAUGGUAGGAAUUGUUUGUACCCCCAGGAAUGAGUCCAUAGAUUGGUACCUAGCAAGUGUUUAAUAAAUCUUUUCUUUCAUUCACUCAUUUACUGAAAAAAAGUAUAUAAUAGGGACUUUUAUAGGGACUGUGGUUUCACAGAAAGUAAACUCAGGCAUUAUGUAAGGUUCUUAUUGCCUCCUUCCUUCACCAUUGUAUAUUCUUUAAACAGUGUAAUCAAGUUAAUUUUGAACUACAGAAAUUAGAAAAGAUAAAUGCCUUGCUAAUCAUAAAGAAUGAUUUAAAAGGGCACAACUAUUUUGCAUCUCAUUUGUAGACUACUUAUGUUCCUAAGAAAUUCUCUUGAAGAGUAACUAGCUCAACUCUUUCUUUGUCUACUUAUUGUAAUUAUAAAUCAAAGAUACAUUCCCCCAGAGAAUAUAUGGUCACUAAGAUGGUAGGAAAACCAAACUUUGAAAUCCAGUACGUUGUUUUUUUUUUAUUAAUAGAAUUUACUUAUAUGACUCCCUCCCCUACCUGAAGCAUAGAUGACAGCAUCCAGGAGACAUGUAUGAAUAUAUAAAUUAUGUCUUUUAUGUUGUUAUUUUUCAGUUCAUUCUCUGGAGGUAACAUUCACAAGUUAUUUUUCAAGUAUUAUAUCUGUAGUUGUGUAUAACGUUCUCUUCAUUCUACUCAUUUUGCUGUUUAUUAUCCUAGGUAGUUCUAAAUUGUUGUUGUUGUUUUUUUUAAUUAGCCCAUCAUUUCUUAUGGCCCAGUAGUAUUCCAUAAAUCUGGAAUAUUUUUAAUUGCAUACUAAAAUAUGCUAAUUGUCUCAUAAAAUGAUAUUUAAUUGGUGAAGAAUACAAAUUGGCCUGCCUUAAAAAAUAUUUGUCUCAGCUUAAGAGUGACACGGGUAGUUGGGGUUAAGUGAUCUGUCCAGGAUCAUACUGCUAGGAAGUAUCUGAGGCCAGUUUUGAACCCAGGUCACCUAGACAAUGUAGAUGUUCACCUAGACAAUAGAAAAUGUUCUCGUUGUCCCUAUUGAGGAGGUCUUUGAAUGGGCAGCGAUAAGUGUCUCAUGAACAAUUUCUUGCCUUGAGCAUUGAUUCAACACUAAUGAUAUUUGAUUACUAGCCAGUUCAUAUGUUUGGGUUAUCUCCUUGGCCUUGGCUAAUUAAAGUUAGGAGUUUAGAUGGAGAAAAGCCAGCUUUGUGCAAACAUAUUACUUCUGUCUAGUGAAGCCAGAAAGAGAGAAGCACAUGAUAUCAAGUAUAGUAGAUAAUGGAGGUAGUAGCCUAGUAGCAAUGCA
rnacentral:lncRNA from 1 species